CAUCGAGGUCACAAUCUUUUUCUUUUAUAAGAACUUUAAGAAAAAAUUGUGCUGUUAUCCCUACGGUAGCUUGAUUUAUUCUAAGAUUUAGGAUGAAUGAAGAAUGGAAAAAAAGAUUUAGUUUCUUACCGCCCCAGUUCAACAAAAGUAAAGUUCGAUAGGGUCUUGUCGUCCUUCUUUGUUAUACAAGUCUUUUUACUUGAAGGAAAAGUUAAAAUAAUUCAGGUAAUAAAGAAAUUUAUAUGUCAAACCUUUCAUUCUAGCCUUCAAUUAAAAGGCAAAUGAUUACGCUACCUUAGCACAAGAAAAUUGCGGCUAUUGAAUAGAUCAUUGAGCAGGCCCUACUGAAUAUUAGUUCAUUCAGAAAUGUUUUUGAUAAACAGACAAUAAAUAUAUAGGCCGAGUUCAUAGACCUGAAUAUAAUUUGCAGGAAGAGGAGUGUUAAAAUGGAAAAAGGUGAGAUUGAUUUUACUAAUAAAAUCAUUGUAAAAGUUUUUAGGUGGGUUUCUUUUAACAGAAUUCUUGUUAAGAAAUAGGGAAGUUUUUAAACUGAGAGACACUAUUAAUCCUAGAGUUUGAAAAGCUGGACAUGAUAAAUUUAUAAAAAAGAUUGUCCCUUUUUAGAUUUUGGUAUUACUACCUUCAAAGAUAACCAGAUAUUAUAGAAUGCGUAUGGAAUUUCAUCUCUAUUUUUACUUUGAAAAGCGUUGUGAAACAAGCUUGGUAAGUAAAAAUAGAUCAUUUCAAUUUCGGGAGUUCUUAAUAAAAAGGGAAGAUUGAUUUUCCCUGAUACUAAAGGUACAUUAAUUCUCUAAUGAACAAUUGGAAAGUUUCCCCUCACGGUGAAAUAAUAGCAGGAAAGAAAUAGAAAGGAAGAAAUAUUUAUUUAAAUAAAUGUUUAAAGCUAGCGGGAUGUU
rnacentral:rRNA from 1 species